UAGGGAAUCUUCGGCAAUGGACGAAAGUCUGACCGAGCAACGCCGCGUGAGUGAAGAAGGUUUUCGGAUCGUAAAACUCUGUUGUUAGAGAAGAACAAGGACGUUAGUAACUGAACGUCACCUGACGGUAUCUAACCAGAAAGCCACGGCUAACUACGUGCCAGCAGCCGCGGUAAUACGUAGGUGGCAAGCGUUGUCCGGAUUUAUUGGGAGUAAAGGGAGCGCGGGCGGUUUCUUAAGUCUGAUGUGAAAGCCCCCGGCUCAACGGGGGAGGGUCAUUGGAAACUGGGAGACUUGAGUGCAGAGGAGGAGAGUGGAAUUCCGGGUGUGGCGGUGAAAUGCGUGGAUAUAGGGAGGAACACCGGUGGCGAAGGCGGCUCUCUGGUCUGUAACUGACGCGGGGGCUGGAAAGCGGGGGGAGCAAAGAGG
rnacentral:rRNA from 1 species